UGGUUGUAAUUUGAAAGCUCGGAACUUUUUUUUUUUCAAUUACAGAAAAAAGUAGGAUGUGAAAUGUGUGUUUUGGUUUCCACAUUUUAAAUGUUUUGACACUACGUUUCUGAAUUUUUAUAGAAGUCGUUAUCCUCAUUGCUUUUUAAAUUGAUAAUACUGACCGAAACCAAAUCAGGACAUAAAAUUGAGUGUCCAAAAAAUAAAUCAAACAUAUGCAAAUUUAUAUAAAAGAUAUAACAAAAAACUGAAUUCAUCAAAUAUGGGUCCACUUUCUACAUGAUAACUUUUAAAAAGUACUCACAAUGUUAAGGCAGAUCA
rnacentral:lncRNA from 1 species